UACGUAGGUGACAAGCGUUGUCCGGAUUUACUGGGCGUAAAGAGCGCGCAGGCGGUCGAUCAAGUCGAGUGUGAAAGCCCCCGGCUCAACUGGGGAGGGUCACGCGAUACUGUUCGACUCGAAGGCAGGAGAGGGAAGUGGAAUUCCCGGUGUAGUGGUGAAAUGCGUAGAUAUCGGGAGGAAUACCAGUGGCGAAGGCGGACCUUCUGGACGGAUACUGACGCUGAGGCGCGAAAGCCAGGGGAGCAAAGCGGG
rnacentral:rRNA from 1 species